UUUAAACUGUUGAGAGGUGCCUGGAGCGCCUGCAGGCAUCUCUGUUUUCAAAAUGGCGCAUACCAGUCUUCAAGGUCAAAACAUUAUAUUGAUUUGGCAACUGAGUAUAAUGCAGGCA
rfam:Berne virus mRNA for polymerase